rnacentral:rRNA from 1 species
AGAGAGUGCAAGCGUUAAUCGGAAUUACUGGGCGUAAAGCGCACGUAGGUGGAUACUUCAGUCGGAUGUGAAAGCCCUGGGCUUAACCUGGGAACUGCACUCGAUACUGGGUAUCUAGAGUAUAGUAGAGGGAAGUGGAAUUUCCGGUGUAGCGGUGAAAUGCGUAGAUAUCGGAAGGAACACCAGUGGCGGAGGCGGCUUCCUGGACUAAUACUGACACUGAGGUGCGAAAGCGUGGGGGAGCAAACAGGAUUAGAGACCCUGGUAGUCCACGCUGUCAACGAUGAGAACUAGACGUUGGGGGGUAACCUCUAGUGUCGAAGCUAACGCGUUAAGUUCUCCGCCUGGGGGAGUACGACCGCAAGGUUA